GGAGAGAUGGCCGAGCUGGUCGAAGGCGCUCCCCUGCUAAGGGAGUAUGGGGCUUAAUACCCCAUCGAGGGUUCGAAUCCCUCUCUCUCCGCCA
rnacentral:tRNA from 1 species